ACGCGAGGAACCUUACCAGGUCUUGACAUCCCAUUGACCGCUAUGGAGACAUAGCUUUCCCUUCGGGGACAGUGGUGACAGGUGGUGCAUGGUUGUCGUCAGCUCGUGUCGUGAGAUGUUGGGUUAAGUCCCGCAACGAGCGCAACCCUUGAUCUUAGUUGCCAGCAGGUUAAGCUGGGCACUCUAAGGUGACUGCCGGUGACAAACCGGAGGAAGGUGGGGAUGACGUCAAAUCAUCAUGCCCCUUAUGACCUGGGCUACACACGUGCUACAAUGGACGGUACAAACGGUUGCCAACCCGCGAGGGGGAGCUAAUCCGAUAAAACCGUUCUCAGUUCGGAUUGUAGGCUGCAACUCGCCUACAUGAAGCCGGAAUCGCUAGUAAUCGCGGAUCAGCAUGCCGCGGUGAAUACGUUCCCGGGCCUUGCACUCACCGCCCGU
rnacentral:rRNA from 1 species